GAGGAAUAUUGGUCAAUGGACGAGAGUCUGAACCAGCCAAGUAGCGUGAAGGAUGACUGCCCUAUGGGUUGUAAACUUCUUUUAUACGGGAAUAAAGUGAGGCACGUGUGCCUUUUUGUAUGUACCGUAUGAAUAAGGAUCGGCUAACUCCGUGCCAGCAGCCGCGGUAAUACGGAGGAUCCGAGCGUUAUCCGGAUUUAUUGGGUUUAAAGGGAGCGUAGGCGGACGCUUAAGUCAGUUGUGAAAGUUUGCGGCUCAACCGUAAAAUUGCAGUUGAUACUGGGUGUCUUGAGUACAGUAGAGGCAGGCGGAAUUCGUGGUGUAGCGGUGAAAUGCUUAGAUAUCACGAAGAACUCCGAUUGCGAAGGCAGCUUGCUGGACUGUAACUGACGCUGAUGCUCGAAAGUGUGGGUAUCAAACAGGAUUAGAUACCCUGGUAGUCCACACAGUAAACGAUGAAUACUCGCUGUUUGCGAUAUACAGUAAGCGGCCAAGCGAAAGCGUUAAGUAUUCCACCUGGGGAGUACGCCGGCAACGGUGAAACUCAAAGGAAUUGACGGGGGCCCGCACAAGCGGAGGAACAUGUGGUUUAAUUCGAUGAUACGCGAGGAACCUUACCCGGGCUUGAAUUGCAACUGAAUGAUGUGGAGACAUGUCAGCCGCAAGGCAGUUGUGAAGGUGCUGCAUGGUUGUCGUCAGCUCGUGCCGUGAGGUGUCGGCUUAAGUGCCAUAACGAGCGCAACCCUUAUCGAUAGUUACCAUCAGGUUAUGCUGGGGACUCUGUCGAGACUGCCGUCGUAAGAUGUGAGGAAGGUGGGAAUGACGUCAAAUCAGCACGGCCCUUACGUCCGGGGCUACACACGUGUUACAAUGGGGGGUACAGAAGGCAGCUACACGGCGACGUGAUGCUAAUCCCUAAAGCCUCUCUCAGUUCGGAUUGGAGUCUGCAACCCGACUCCAUGAAGCUGGAUUCGCUAGUAAUCGCGCAUCAGCCACGGCGCGGUGAAUACGUUCCCG
rnacentral:rRNA from 1 species